UACGUAGGGGGCAAGCGUUGUCCGGAUUUAUUGGGCGUAAAGAGCGUGUAGGCGGCCUGACAGGUCUGCUGUGAAAACUCGAGGCUCAACCUCGAGAUGUCGGCGGAAACCGUCUGGCUAGAGUCCGGAAGAGGAGAGUGGAAUUCCUGGUGUAGCGGUGAAAUGCGUAGAUAUCGUUUGGAACGCCAAUGGUGAAAACAGGUCGCUGGGGAUGAGCUGACGCUGAGACACGAAAGCCAGGGGAGCAAACGGG
rnacentral:rRNA from 1 species